GAUGAACGCUGGCGGCGUGCCUAAUACAUGCAAGUCGAGCGAACAGAUGAGGAGCUUGCUCCUCUGACGUUAGCGGCGGACGGGUGAGUAACACGUGGAUAACCUACCUAUAAGACUGGGAUAACUUCGGGAAACCGGAGCUAAUAGCGGAUAAUAUAUUGAUCCGCAUGGUUCAAUAGUGAAUGACGGCUUUGCUGUCACUUAUAGAUGGAUCCGCGCCGCAUUAGCUAGUUGGUAAGGUAACGGCUUACCAAGGCAACGAUGCGUAGCCGACCUGAGAGGGUGAUCGGCCACACUGGAACUGAGACACGGUCCAGACUCCUACGGGAGGCAGCAGUAGGGAAUCUUCCGCAAUGGGCGAAAGCCUGACGGAGCAACGCCGCGUGAGUGAUGAAGGUCUUCGGAUCGUAAAACUCUGUUAUUAGGGAAGAACAAAUGUGUAAGUAACUAUGCACGUCUUGACGGUACCUAAUCAGAAAGCCACGGCUAACUACGUG
rnacentral:rRNA from 1 species